UCAGCGACUCCUCUCAGUUUGAACGUGAAGCGGUUUAAUAUUGUGUUGCUUUUACAGAAGUUAUAACGUUAUUUAAAUAAUCUCUGGAAGGGAUCUGCAUGUCGAAAACACGAUCGCAAGUAAACGUCCAAGAUGAACGCAAGAGGAAAAAACGGGCCGGUAUUUAUCAAGACAUACAGUAAACGAAUGCGAAAGUUGGAGCCUUGGAUCUCCCCUGACCUAAGAAAAGCGGCUUUCUCUUUUUCAAGCACUUUUUCAUCAGAUCAGUCGAUACAAGAGACCCCAAAGCCCAAGAAAAGG